ACGAACGCUGGCGGCAGGCCUAACACAUGCAAGUCGAGCGCUCCGCAAGGAGAGCGGCGCACGGGUGAGUAACGCGUGGGAAUUUACCCCGGGGCUGGGGAUAACGGCGGGAAACUGCCGCUAAUACCCGGUACGCCUUGAGAGGGAAAGGAGCAAUCCGCCCUGGGAGGAGCCCGCGUUGGAUUAGCUAGUUGGUGGGGUAAGAGCCUACCAAGGCGACGAUCCAUAGCUGGUCUGAGAGGAUGAUCAGCCACACUGGGACUGAGACACGGCCCAGACUCCUACGGGAGGCAGCAGUGGGGAAUAUUGGACAAUGGGCGCAAGCCUGAUCCAGCCAUGCCGCGUGAGUGAAGAAGGCCUUAGGGUUGUAAAGCUCUUUCGACGGGGACGAUGAUGACGGUACCCGUAGAAGAAGCUCCGGCUAACUUCGU
rnacentral:rRNA from 1 species